CUGCAAAUAUUCUUGCUGUUCUGAUUUUGUAAUAAUCAUGGUGGGCUAAACUUCACUACAUUAAGAUGAUGCAUGUUUCCAGACCUGAUUCUUUCCCUAGGUCUGCUUUUAUCGGUGCUUGUGAUAAAC
ensembl:snoRNA SNORA72 Small nucleolar RNA SNORA72